CUUUCAUUCUUAUUUUCUCCUCUCUUCUCCUUCUUCUUUCUCUUUCCUUUCCCUGUUCCUCUGCUCUGAUCGAUCUGAGAGAUGAAGGUGAGGUUGAUUCUGUAUGAGCGUUUCUUCUCAUGCUUGGAAAAUAGAUGAACUGAGUGAGGUGGUGGUGUUACUGAAGCUGAAUUAGUUCUGGAAAAUCAAUAAAUUGUUUUCAGUAAUCAGAGGAUAUGGAAGGAACGAAGUCAUCUGUUCCAUAAUUUAGAGCUUUAUCGAAUCUAGUGUUGAUGUGUAUCUUUUAUUAUAUAUGAGUAUUCUUUAUUUAAUCUGUAAACAACACACUAUUGUAAUCUUAAUAUUUGAAAGAUUUCAUUUAUAUGAUAUCAGAGAUUUGGGUUUGUUAUGA